UCUUGGCUUGCAGGCCAGUGGGAUUGGCUUCAGUCAUGCAGCACAAUUCCUUGGAGAUUUAUCUGUAUUACUGUAUUUACCAGCAGUUUGUUCUUAAUUGCUAAAUAGUAUUCCAUGUAUGGAUGUACAAGAGAUUUAACCAUUCACCUACCGACAGAAAUACAGCACGACAUUAAGGCAGAUGUGCAUUAAACAGUUUUCUGAUGCUAAAACAACUGCAAGAAUGCCUUAGGAACAAGAGUGGACCUACACAAGAAAAUGAGCUCCACAGUAGCCUUCAAAACCUGAAGUCUUGUAACCAUGGCAACUAUGAAAACCUAGAGCUGUGCUGCCACUAGCAGCCUAUUCAACAUGAAGAUGAUGGGAACUGAUGGGAAUUGAAGACCUUUAUGAUGAUCCAUUGCCACUUAAUAAAUAGUAAAUAUGU